GACGAACGCUGGCGGCGUGCUUAACACAUGCAAGUCGAACGGAAAGGCCCUGCUUUUGUGGGGUGCUCGAGUGGCGAACGGGUGAGUAACACGUGAGUAACCUGCCCUUGACUUUGGGAUAACUUCAGGAAACUGGGGCUAAUACCGGAUAGGAGCUCCUGCUGCAUGGUGGGGGUUGGAAAGUUUCGGCGGUUGGGGAUGGACUCGCGGCUUAUCAGCUUGUUGGUGGGGUAGUGGCUUACCAAGGCUUUGACGGGUAGCCGGCCUGAGAGGGUGACCGGCCACAUUGGGACUGAGAUUCGGGCCAGACUUCUACGGGGGGGAGGAGGGGGGAAUUAUUGCACAUGGGGCGGAGCCUGAUGCCGCAACGGCGGGUGGGGGGAUAAGGGCUUCCGGUUGUAAACCGCUUUCGCCUGUGACGAAGCGUGAGUGACGGUAAUGGGUAAAGAAGCACCGGCUAACUACGUG
rnacentral:rRNA from 1 species